rnacentral:rRNA from 1 species
UAGUCAAUGCUCGCAAGAGUGAACUAGCUAACUGAAAUCAAAGAGUUAAAUUUAACUCAUGAUGUCGUAAGGGAAAAUAAUGAUAAUACCUUACUAUUAGUGUCGUCCAAAUCUGGUGCCAGAAGACUCGGUAAGACCAGAGACGCAAACGUUAAUCAUCAUAAUCAGGCGUAAAGGGUUUGUAGGCAGCCUCCAUCCCCUCAAAUCCCCGUCCCCCUCCCGCACUCUACUCCGUCCCCGUCCCUCCCCGCUCGGCCCGUGUCCGCCCCGCCUUAAAUCCUUAAGGCGGUGCGGACCGGGUGCGGCGGUGCGGGGCUGGGCGGGUCUGGGCCGGGCCAGGGGGAAAGAACGGAGUCUUUGAGGGAGCCGGAAAGCUAGAAUCAAAAAGAGGUUAUAGUGUAUAACGCCUAGAGGAGGGCUGAUAUCCAUAGAUUCUAGGCAGAAUACUCAGGGCGAAGGCCACUCUCCACUAAGAUUGACGCUGAGAAACGAAGGUUAGGAUAGGAAAUAGGAUUAGAUACCCCGGUACUCCUUUCUGUAAACGAUGAAUGGUAGUCAUUAGUUUUUUAACUAGAGACGAAGUUAACACAAUAACCAUUCCGCCUUGUGAGUACUACUGCAAAGUAGAAAACAAAAAAAUUAGUCGGUCUCGAAGCAAACGGAGUGAAGCAUGUUAUUUAAU